rnacentral:lncRNA from 1 species
CUGUAAUUCAUUGGUUGUCGUUUGUUUAUGUGUUACAUAUUUGUUUUUCGUUCAUUUUUUUACAUAAAUAAGGCCGUUAGUUUUCUCGUUUGAACUGUUUUACAUUGUCUUAUCGGGGCCUAUUAUAGCUGACUGUGCGGUGUGGGCUUUGCUCAUUGUUGAAGGCCGUACGGUGACCUAUAGUUGUUGAUGUCUGUGUCAUUUU